UGGUGGAGUGAUUUGUCUGGUUAAUUCCGUUAACGAACGAGACCUUAGCCUGCUAAAUAGUUGCUGGAAACCUUGGUUUUCAGUCAGCUUCUUAGAGGGACUUCGUGUGUUUAACACGAGGAAGUUUGAGGCAAUAACA
rnacentral:rRNA from 1 species